rnacentral:rRNA from 1 species
UACGGAGGGGGCAAGCGUUGUUCGGAAUUACUGGGCGUAAAGGGCGCGUAGGCGGCCACCGCAAGUCAAUUGUGAAAUCUCCGGGCUUAACUCGGAAAGGUCAACUGAUACUGCGGGGCUAGAGUGCGGAAGGGGCAACUGGAAUUCUCGGUGUAGCGGUGAAAUGCGUAGAUAUCGGAAGGAACAUCAGUGGCGAAAGCGACUUCCUGGACCAAUACUGACGCUCAUGUGCGAAAGCGUGGGGAGCAAACAGG